AGAUGUUCAUCAGAGUGAGGACAAGGAGCAGAGCAUUGAAGAAGAAGUAGAAGGGGAUAUUAGGAACCGACUGGAGGCUGGAGUAGCAGAGAAGCCUGCAGAGAGGGAGGAAGGAGACAAAGGGAUGCACCAGGAGUGACAACCUGUGAGUGAUUUAUCUCUGCUCUUCAUCUUUCUCUUCUGCCUUUCCCCAGGAGGAGCAGCAGGGCUGGGAUCUGAGGCCCACAUCCCAUUUGCUUCUUCAAAAAAA